UUGAACGCUGGCGGCAUGCUUUACACAUGCAAGUCGAACGCGAAAGGGGGCAACCCUGAGUAGAGUGGCGCACGGGUGAGUAAUACAUCGGAACGUGUCCUGUAAUGGGGGAUAACGCAGCGAAAGCUGUGCUAAUACCGCAUACGUCCUACGGGAGAAAGCGGGGGAUCGCAAGACCUCGCGUUAUAGGAGCGGCCGAUGCCGGAUUAGCUAGUUGGUGGGGUAAAGGCCUACCAAGGCAACGAUCCGUAGCUGGUCUGAGAGGAUGAUCAGCCACACUGGGACUGAGACACGGCCCAGACUCCUACGGGAGGCAGCAGUGGGGAAUUUUGGACAAUGGGGGCAACCCUGAUCCAGCCAUGCCGCGUGAGUGAAGAAGGCCUUCGGGUUGUAAAGCUCUUUCGGCCGGGACGAAAUCGCACAGGUGAAUACCUUGUGUGGAUGACGGUACCGGAAUAAGAAGCACCGGCUAACUACGU
rnacentral:rRNA from 1 species